GCCCGCCUCUUUCAGCCCGUGAGCGAAGAACACUUCCUACAUUUUUAAAGGCUCAGAAACCAUUCAAAACAAUAGUGCAUGAAAAUUCUAGGACACUCCAAUGCCACUGCCACAGAUAAUGUUAGGAGCACACAGCCAAGGCCAUUCAUGUGCGUGUCAUCUGGGGCAGCUGUCAUCCCACAGAGCAGAGCCAAGCGAUUGUGACAGAGACUUUGUCGCCCAGAAGCCCUAACGUGUGUUCUGUGGCCCUUUGCCAGAGUCAGCCGAUCGCUGGUGAGCCCGUUUUCGCCCUGGGGCAGAGACAGCCUGGUCCACACCCGCCUGCACAACCCACCUUCAGUGGGGCGGCCAGAGCAGAGAGGGGCUCCUUCCUGGUGGCCCCGGACCAGUCUCCCUGGGGAGGCCCUUAGGGCUCGGGCUCCUGCUCGCUCAUGCGGGCAGGUGGGGGAUCCCGGACCUGCCCUCCCCACGCACCCCGCCCGCUCCCAGAGGCCUUCAGGCCCACAAGGGGGGCAGGCGCCAGGCAGAGGGGAGCGGAGGCAAAGCGUCCAGGGGCUGCAGGGGGGCGGGGGCGGCCUGGGCCUGGGAGCUUGGCAGGCACAGGGGAGGGUAAGGGCCUGACGGCCGCACAAAGACCACUUUGUUCCCAUCCCACCGCAGCCUCUGGGCGCUUCUGACGGUUUCGCUGCCAAUUCAGGUGCCUUCUUCCCAGUGCCAGGCUGGCUGGGCUUCCCGCCCAGAAGGAAGGUCCAUGUGGACCGGAGCUCCGGGAAGCACUGCCGGAGGUGGGGGCUGGGAGAAGCGCCGGCCGCUGCCUAGACAGCAAAGGUGACAGGACACACGAGGUGCAUGUUCAGAGUGCGUGAACACAGAACAGAUGCACAGGCGCACACGUGCGCUCGGGCACCACCCGCUCCUCCUACACACAGGGAGGCCAGCGCACAGCAGGGGUUGGAGGUUGAGUCCGGUCUCCCUGCCCCGUGGAUGUGGAGCCUGGGGGCACCCCUCUGUGCCCUGCAGCCUGAGUGAAGCGGACCAGAAGGCCUCAAGUUCUCGGCGACGCCACGCUUUAAGGUUUUGGAAGACCCCGCGGCACCACCUGCGAGCACCAGGGGGCGCAGGAGUUCGGCUGGAAGCAGGUGGCCUGAGUCCGCAUCUGCAGGCUCUUCCAUCAGCCUGAAAAAAAGUCACUUGUCUACACACCCCCCCACCACAGGACUCUGGUUUGGUUUCCAAAUACAUUUAUGGGCUGUGUUUUCUGAUUGCAACGCGAUAGUAUCUGGAUAGUGAAGACAGUCUGGAAAUGAUUUCCAAGGACGGUCAUCCCCCAUCCCGCUGUCACCCAGGGCGAGGAGUGUGUGUGCCCGCUCUCCGGGUGCCAAAAUGUACACACGCAGCUCCGGGUCGCAGCCUGUGAGUCUGGAGUUGUCUCUUGCCCAGCAAGAGGCGGAUGCAGAAAUGAAAACGAGAGAGGGUAGUGGCCGGGAGGGGACAAGAGCCCCACACAGGCUCCGUGUUUGUCAUACACACCGGGUGACAGUGCAGAAGACAAUCAGUCGGUAUUGUUAACAUGUGUGUAAGAAGUGAAGCGUCUGGGGGGCGAGUGGCGUUGUGAUCAAAGUACAUUGGCACCAGACGGAAGGAGUUUCCUGCAGGGGACACAAGUCACCAGUGGUCCCGUUGUAAUUUCUCACUGAUGGACCUCGGGCGCCUUUGCCCCGUGGCCACAGCUUUCUGCCCUAAGCCUUUUGUACCCCGUUAAUGAAAGUGUAAGGAAUUCGUGAACCUGCUCCCCCACAGCUCUGGGUCGUGCUUACGUUUAGAAUCUCUCAGAAAUCCUUUGUUUCUUC
rnacentral:lncRNA from 1 species